GGGUGGAUGGCGGAAUUGGCAGACGCACAGGACUUAAAAUCCUGAGACUCGCAAGGAGUCGUGAGGGUUCAAUUCCCUCUCUACCCA
rnacentral:tRNA from 1 species